AUAUCAAUAAGCGGAGGAAAAGAAACCAACAGGGAUUGCCCUAGUAACGGCGAGUGAAGCGGCAACAGCUCAAAUUUGAAAUCUGGCUCUCGGGCCCGAGUUGUAAUUUGUAGAGGAUGACUUUGAUGCGGUGCCUUCCGAGUUCCCUGGAACGGGACGCCAUAGAGGGUGAGAGCCCCGUCUGGUUGGAUGCCAAAUCUCUGUAAGUCUCCUUCGACGAGUCGAGUAGUUUGGGAAUGCUGCUCUAAAUGGGAGGUAUAUGUCUUCUAAAGCUAAAUACCGGCCAGAGACCGAUAGCGCACAAGUAGAGUGAUCGAAAGAUGAAAAGCACUUUGAAAAGAGAGUUAAAAAGUACGUGAAAUUGUUGAAAGGGAAGCGUUUAUGACCAGACUUGGGCUUGGUUAAUCAUCUGGGGUUCUCCCCAGUGCACUUUUCCAGUUCAGGCCAGCAUCAGUUUUCGCCGGGGGAUAAAGACUUCGGGAAUGUGGCUCCUCUCGGGGAGUGUUAUAGCCCGUUGUGUAAUACCCUGGUGGGGACUGAGGUUCGCGCUUCUGCAAGGAUGCUGGCGUAAUGGUCAUCAACGACCC
rnacentral:rRNA from 1 species